rnacentral:rRNA from 1 species
GACGAACGCUGGCGGCGUGCUUAACACAUGCAAGUCGAACGGUAAGGCCCUUCGGGGUACACGAGUGGCGAACGGGUGAGUAACACGUGGGUGAUCUGCCCUGCACUUCGGGAUAAGCCUGGGAAACUGGGUCUAAUACCGGAUAGGACCCUGGGAUGCAUGUCCUGGGGUGGAAAGCUUUUGCGGUGUGGGAUGGGCCCGCGGCCUAUCAGCUUGUUGGUGGGGUGAGGGCCUACCAAGGCGACGACGGGUAGCCGGCCUGGGAGGGUGACCGGCCACACUGGGACUGAGAUACGGCCCAGACUCCUACGGGAGGCAGCAGUGGGGAAUAUUGCACAAUGGGCGCAAGCCUGAUGCAGCGACGCCGCGUGAGGGAUGACGGCCUUCGGGUUGUAAACCUCUUUCAGCACCGACGAAGCGCAAGUGACGGUAGGUGCAGAAGAAGGACCGGCCAACUACGUGCCAGCCGCCGCUGUAA